UUGCUUCAGCAGCACAUAUGCUAAAAUUGGAACGAUGCAGAGAAGAUUAGCAUUGGCCCCUGCACAAGGAUGACAUGCAAAUUAGUGAAGUGUAUCAUAUUUUU
ensembl:snRNA U6 U6 spliceosomal RNA